rnacentral:rRNA from 1 species
UGGGGAAUAUUGCACAAUGGGCGCAAGCCUGAUGCAGCCAUGCCGCGUGUAUGAAGAAGGCCUUCGGGUUGUAAAGUACUUUCAGCGAGGAGGAAGGCGUUGUGGUUAAUAACCGCAGCGAUUGACGUUACUCGCAGAAGAAGCACCGGCUAACUCCGUGCCAGCAGCCGCGGUAAUACGGAGGGUGCAAGCGUUAAUCGGAAUUACUGGGCGUAAAGCGCACGCAGGCGGUCUGUCCAGUCGGAUGUGAAAUCCCCGGGCUCAACCUGGGAACUGCAUCCGAAACUGGCAGGCUAGAGUCGUGUAGAGGGGGGUAGAAUUCCAGGUGUAGCGGUGAAAUGCGUAGAGAUCUGGAGGAAUACCGGUGGCGAAGGCGGCCCCCUGGACAAAGACUGACGCUCAGGUGCGAAAGCGUGGGGAGCAAACA